CUAGAAUGUUGGCACCAAACCAAAGCACAAAUCAGAAAAAAAAAUCAUUCUCAGUGGAGAACGGCAAUGGGCUGUUUAUGCUGUAACAACUGGAGCCCAGCUCCAGAACAGCAUCUGGAAGGUGAAACAGGAAGAGGAUCCAAGAUUAGCUGAGGGGAGAAUCCACUAAGAUCAAAUAUUGGCUAUAAAGGAAGAAGACAAGUAUAUCCACAUUCAUGACUGUUAUUCAACAAUAUUCUGAAGAUCCUAGCCAGCGAAAUAAGGGGAAAAAAUAAAUGAAGAGCGUACAAACAGAAA